rnacentral:lncRNA from 1 species
AAAGAAUGUGGGUUCAUGUUGCAACUCAGUUAUGCAUUAAUUAUGUGAUUUUAGGAAACUCAUUUAACUCCACUGGACCCCAGGUAGCUGUUUGUGAAAUUUUUGGAAAAAUUAAAAUGACACAUAAAAAUUAAAUGGCACAGCAUAGAUAGAGUUUUUAUCAGGUGAUAUACAUGGUACAUGAUUAAAAUUAUUUACUUUCUUUGCUUUAUUUUUUCCUUUCCCAUUGUCUAAUUAACUCUCAGUUCUAGGCUUGCACAACACCACACACUUUGAAGAACACAAAAAAACUAACACUGUAGGCAUGAGCCCACGAUCUGAGAUGAUAAGCAGAGGCAGCUGUGGCUCUGGAGGGCCAGCUUUCUACAUUCACAAGGAUGUACCAGAGCUAUGGAAGAAGAUCCAGAGAUUAGUAAUCCUGGUGAGAGGCUGAGUUUCAAAACAGUUUAUAUACUAGUGUUUUGAGCAGAUUUCAAUAAAAGUGGAUUCUGCUGCUACGGCGAUUCAUUACCAACAUCACAGGCCAAGCACGCGCUGUCCCUGGGCGGGGAGGGCCCCCCGGAAAUUAAGCAGCAGCCGGCGCGGCCGCCCCGCAGCAGGCUGGAGGCAGAGCGCGCAACGGUCCGGGGGCAGCCUCGUCCCCCGCCCCGGGGCGGAGUCUGGAGCAGCCGAGCGGAGCAGCGACUCCGCGGAAAGGACCGGCUCUCGCUGUCUCCUUUCUUGAGGAUGUGCCUCCUCCCGUCAGCCUGCUUCAGACAGGUUAAAGCAACAGCUUCAGAUUGGGGCACAGGGAAGCCUCAGGAAC